AAACCUGGUAGUUUGCUACGAUAACUAAAAGCAAUUACUAGCAGACUUCCAAUUCUGAAACUACAAAAACCAUGUGGGGGAUGACAAUUGCAAACACAAAUCUUUCCAUUAUAUAUAAGCAUGCAUGAACCUAUGGAGCCCAACUGCAGGAGCAGGCACCAAAAUUGCCUCCUAAGUCCUACCAAAUUGCGUAUCAUACCAAUAACACAAUUUACCUAAUCAGGCCCGUUGUGAUUUCUUCAUUUUCCUAAGGAUUGAAUUUAGUUGGGCCUCUUGAUUAACCAAACAAUGGGCAUUGGCCCAGUUAAGAUGAGGGAUAAGUUCAUUCCUAUGUAUUUACAAGCCUUCAUGUAGCCUCUCAUGGUCGAGUUGGUAAGAGCCUAGGUGUGAAACCAUAUACCUAGGUUCGAAUCCUAGCCGACACUAAUUGGAGUUAAAUCCUAAUUUAUUCUUGGUGGCCAGAGGGGAUGAAGUGUUCUGACAUGAUCCCUCGACGCAGAUUAGUCUUUGAACCUGGAAAGCCUUUGAGGAUACCGUCGUUGACACUCUAACAAUAUAUAUAUAUAUAUAUAUAUAUAUAUAUAUAGUGGCUUUUCCAGUGCUAGACAAAAACUGAUUUCACGUGUAUCAUGAAGUUUGGUUUUCUCCAACUCACAGUUUCUCUAUGGAUGACCAUUACUCAUCCACCGGUUAUAGGCAAGAGAGGAAAGAGUUGUUAGGGUUGAGAUAUAUCGCAAGCGGUAACAAACAUAGAAAAAGACAUGUGAAUGAUAGUGGAAGCAAAAAGAAGACGACCAAGACCAAGAACAAGACCCAUUGUCUAGCAGUCCGAGGGAGAACCUAUCUUCUUUCUUUAAUUUCAUACCACUCGGCCACUAUAAUAAUUCAUACAACUUUACUGAAUGAAUCAUUGAUCACUCACCCAAAAAAACAAAAUAAAAGGAAUCAUUGAUACCAAAAGAAAAAAAGCUUUACCAAAUGAAGUGGAUCCUGAGCUUUUAUCAAACAAACUUGCAUGUCAAUAUAAUAGAAUGUGGUGCUAUUGAUUCACACUUAUAGUUGAUCGAGUAUAGUGCAUGUUUCUCAAUCUUUCUUUCGAAGGCGAUUCAGUUGCUGCAAAAUUUAUUUGAUCGAGUAUAGUGUAUGAUUUCUUUAGUCACUAUGUGACCAUAUGAACAAUACUAUUUGGUUUAUAACAUCGUAUACCCUCAAAAUACUCCAACAUAUGGGAAUCCCCAACGUAUGCCAGAAACUAAUAUCAAAAUCAAAAUAUGUUAUGUACACAUGUACAUAUUGACUAUUGAGGUUAUGAAAGUUUUGGAUUCAGUUUUCCGGUUGCGGUUUUUCUUCUUCUUCUUCUUCGUCGAGUACAGAGCAAGUCGGAUCCAUCUCUAUCUCACCGUCUUUCGCUAACACCCACUAACUUCACUUGUGCCUAACAUCGUUAAUUUCAAUGACGUGUGGGCAACACGCGCCAAUUCAACUGCAGUCUAUGGGCACCGCAGUCUAUACUAGACGCUCUCAAGAAACUUUAUUAUAACUUCACGGAUAGUCAAGUUCCUUCCUAGUUUCACUAAACAUAUCAGGUAAAUAAUUCUAUAUAACUUUCAUUACUUAUGUCCUUAUGAUGUAAACAUUACUCCUAUAUAAAAGGGUAUAAUGAGAAUGAAUGAUAUAAUUCUUCCUUCUCCCCCAAAAAAAAAAAAAAAAAGAAAAGUCUAUAUAACUUAAUCCAGACAUAAUUGGGUUCCAUAGGCUAGCUAUUUCAGAUUAAUCUGGUUUCAAGUUAAUGAUCAAUUCCAGCUUUCCAUCAUGCAAUCUUAUAAUGUAUGCUACUUCGAUUCUAGAGCGCCAAUCUUUGCUCUAUAGCUAGCUACCCAGUACUACUAAUUGUCUAGUUGAUCCUGCUUUCCUCAAGUAAGGAAAAAACAUACUCUUUCACUGCAUAUAUCUUCCUUAAUUGGUAAUUCUGUCUCUAUUCUUGAUUGUAAACCGUAAACUAACAAUUUUCUAGCUUCCGACCACCGUUGUUCCUCUUUCUAGCUAGAUCUAAACCACAUGCACCAGUCAUUACUGUGACUAAUUUUCAUAUUUAUAUUUUUCAAAUUUCAGUACUGCGGAUUGGAAAAUUGCUCGAGUACGAAGACUACCAUCGCGAUCGGCUGUGUUAGUAAUUCUGAGACCAUCUCAUCCAGCAUAACAGAAAGGCAUAAAAUAAUUAUGGCUAAACAUCAGGGACCAAACAAUGAAAUCCAAAUGAGGUUUGUUUUAUUAACCUAGCAAUAAGUUAGUUUUCUGCAAUUGUACUGAUAAAUUUAGGUUACGGAUUCGAUCGUUGAGCUUUUUGUUCAGUGGUCAGUUGUAGUAGUCGACGGCUUCGAUUCAUUUAAUUUACAUUAUUUUUGUUUUUCUUCUAUCAGCAUUACACCAGAUGUGUCUCAUGAUUUCGGUAGUCCUGAGGCUCAUCGAAAACCGACACCCGAACAUGGACAACCUCAAGCAAGCAGCCAAAGAUGGAAUUGGCCAACAGUUGCCGGAGUUUCUUCAGAUUUGAACCCAUGGUGGAAUAAGAUACUGGUAACUUCAUGUGUGAUUGCAGUUUUAUUUGAUCCCUUGUUCUUUUACAUUCCAUACACCAGCGAGGAAAAAAAGUGUAUGGGAAGCGACGAAAGAGUGCAGACUGCAGCUCUGAUUUUCCGAUCAGUCACAGACAUCACUUUCCUGGUGCAUAUCAUAUACCAACUAUAUGUGGCUAUCAAAUUUGCACUCUCAAGGGUGGAUGAAAGUUUGGUUUUUAGAUAUGAAUCGGUAUCCCGAGUGCAAAUGAUUCGGUUUGCAAAGGCAUUUUCUCUCAAGUUGUCAUGGCGAUCUUUCCUAACUGACGUUUUCGCUAUUUUGCCCAUACCACAAGUAAGACAUAUCGUAACUCUCUUUCUAGUUAUUAGCUAGAGAUUGGCUAAUAAUUAACUCGCUGUAAUUUACGGUCUUUUUAAAAGUUUUAACCCACGAUUUUUUGUCCAGCUGCUAAUAGUAGGAUUGUUUUUCAACAUCGGAGGCAAUGACUACUUGUUAAGAAGAAAGAUUGUGAGCGGUUUUCUUCUAGUCCAAUAUGUGCCAAGAAUCUAUCGAAUUUAUCUUUCAUCUGUCGCGAUUACAGAAUCUGCAUUAUGGGUUAGAGGUGUAUUUAACCUUUUCCUCUACAUCCUUGCGAGUCAUGUAAGUUUAUCCAUCUCACCUCUUCUCAUCAAUUUUUUAUUAUUGUUUUUUUUUUUUCUUUUCAUUGAAUUAGGUGAGUUACUUGAGUUAAGUUUGUGUUGAUAAAAAAUGUUUGUUGUUAAUUAUAGGCACUUGGAGCCUUUUGGUACUUUUUUUCUAUUCAACGACAGACAUCAUGUUGGCAUCGAACUUGCAUCGCCGAUUUAAAUCGAACAGAAUCAGAAUGCACAUUUUACUGUGAUGACAGUACUGCUGCACUUAUAACCGGUACCCCACAAUUCAAUACAACUCUAGACGAGCAAUGCGUUCUAAAAGUUCCAUAUAACAUGACCGAUCCACCAUUUGAUUUUGGAAUAUUUUUUGAUGCCCUCAAAAAUGAUAUCCAAGGGAAAAUAAAUGUUCCACAAAAGAUUGGUUACUGUUUUUGGUGGGGCUUGCGAAACUUGAGGUAAUCUUCAUUUAUAACUUAAUUCAGUCGGGUCAUUCAUCAACCAACAUUUUACAAUUACUAAUCAUUUAACAAUUUCUUCUGUGGCCGGCAGUAAUUUUGGUACAAGUUUAACAACGAGUACCUAUCUGUGGGAAAACAGCUUUGCCAUUUUAAUUUCUAUCAUCGGCUUGCUAUUGUUUUUAUACCUCAUUGGAAAUGUACAGGUUGGUAACCUAAUCGAUCACCCAUAUAUGUUAUGUUACUUAUGUAUAUACAGUAUUAUAUAUAUAUAUAUAUUUGCUAUUGUACAUAGCAAUGGUUAACUUAAUUUGAUCGAGGAGGUGAUUAAAUUGAUGGAUGGAGUUGUUAAUUAUAUGCAACAUGCAGAUUUAUAUGGAGAGGGCAACUACCAGAGCGGAUGAGGUAAGAGAGAAGCUUCGGAUCAAAAAGAACGAUAUAGAUGAUUGGAUCGAAAAUAAUGGUAUCGGGAAGGACAUGAAGGAAGAGAUCAUGAAAAACAUCAAGGAGAAGUUGGAAAAGGACAUAAGUGCAGAUCUGGAUGAUAUAUACUCUAUUCUUCCCCCGAAUACCAGGAAAGUUGUGAAGCGAUUUGUCGGCAUGAGGACGCUAAGAAAUGUAUGUCACAGUACCCUUGUUUGUGACUUGUGUCAUCAGUACGUUGUGUGUGUUGUUGAAGCUAGCUUACUAAUCAGUGGUCUGCUUAUACAUACAUAUGUAGGUACCAAUGCUUAGCGAGGUGGAUGGAAGAGUUUUGAAGAUGAUGUGCGACUAUCUGAAGCCGGUCAAGUACCAGGAGAAUACAAUGGUUUUUAAAAUGGGAAAACCAUUUGAUAGAAUGGUCUUCAUUACAGAUGGGUCAAUGUGGACUUACACGACUGCUACUGAUCAUCAGACUAGUGAUUCUGGAAAAGCAACGUCAGGAGGACUAGUUACUUCUUCGUCCACGGAAGCUCACUUCCUCGAGAAGGGUGAUGCUUAUGGACACAUGCUUCUGCAAUUAGCAUCAUCAUCUUUUACGACGCUUCCUAUCUCAGAUGCAAAUGUCAAGUGCCACACAAAGGUAGAGGCGUUUGUCCUCAUGGCCAGUGACUUGAGAAACAUAGUAACUGAGUGCGGUCGGUGCGGUCGGUGCGGAGAUUUGUGGCCGGAUUUCAAGUAUAAUGCUUCUCAAGAUGAGGAGGCUGUUCAGAAGGCACCGCCGGGGCACUUUCAGCAACAACAAGGGCCAAAGAAGCGUGGAACAACAUCAAAUAUCCAUCCUACCGGCUACAGUGGGUGAUGCAUGCGAAGCUGAAGCCUGCUGCAAAUCGCCCCUAGCUAGCCUGCAGUGAUCUAGGGCGCGCAGUACGUUGUGCAUUAUUUGCUUUUACAUAUAUAGCAGCUACAGCUAAAGCUAGCUAGCUAGCUAUCCAUCAACUCCAUCCUUCAAGCUAGCUGCUACUUACUCUUAUUGUCAUAUAUAUCAUCGUUUCUUCAUUUGUAUCGCUACGUACUUGAGCUAUGGUACUUGUUAUCGAUCAGUGAUUGCCUGUUUUAAUAUAUCAAUUAUUUGAGAAUAAAAAUAAGACUUGAGUUUUGAUAACGGAGUUAUAUGAGCAAAUUUCUUUGAUUCCCACCAGUUCAUUCAAAGAUCAACAAGACACUCAAGGAAGGCAAUUUCUAUGGAGUGGAACAACUUCUACGUUGGGUAGCAGUACCUGACGAACAUUUCUCCAAACUUCCUAGCUAGCUUGAACGAGAAUGUGAGAUCUCAAUCAAAAGUGGAAGGCUUUACUCUCAUGGCCAGCGACUUGAGAAAGGUAGCCAACAACUGCGCAGGCCUUUGGAAGUUCACCAACGCCCUGAUUGCCCUCAAUCCUGAAGAAAGAGAGGUGGCGGCACAUACUAGUACGUACUACGUACCAUAGCAGCAGCAGUAGUCAGUUGUUUCCGAAAUGCAGCAAAGAAGUCGUCCGGAGCAAACCCGUCGGCAGUUGAAUUGGCCAAUGAACAACGUUUAGCUAUAGCUUGUGUUGCCCUAGCUCGCAACUUGGUAUAUAUCCAUUUUGAUUUUACAAGGCAACUAGCUAAUAAUUAAGACAAAGUCGAUUUAAUUGGCAUACACGGGGCGUGAAAUUGUGUUGUUUUAAUUUGAAUGUUACAAUUAAGAUUGAUUAUGGUUUGUGCUUAAUUAUUGGAUUUCUCUAUCUUCAAUCACUAUAUAUAUAUUAUAAAAAAAAUCUUCAAAGAUUAUAGUGGAUAUGCUUCCGCUAGUUCCUCAGAACAAACAAAACACUAAUGAAUCUAUCCCAGAUGCUUGAAGAUUGGAUCACUGAGCACGGUCGUAUCUACGUACGUACUCCAACAAUUUGAAGAGAAAGCAAGACGGUAUCAGAUUUUUAUAGCCAAAUAUCUCUCUGUGCAAAAGUUCAACAAAGAAGGUGCGCAUAGUGAUGAUAUUCGGCUUAAAGAUUUGAAACCGCCUUGCUUCGAUCUCUUCAUUGCUGGAAUAGACACAAUAUGUACAGUACUCUGAAUUUUUAUGUAAGGCUGGAUUGGGUCUUGUAAACUUGGGUUCAUGCAUUCGUUUUACGGGAUUAGAGAGACGAGCUAACCCGUCCAAGCCACAAAAAACAGCCCAAAUAGAUUAGAGGCCCACUGGCCCAUAACCCAUCUCCCUCUUCUACUUUCCUUCAAAACUGUUUACCUUGUAUUCUAGCUACAACAUUGUUUAAGAUUGAGAAAUUUUAAAUACACACCCCUAAUAUCUUAAUACACACCCCUUACUUAAUACACCACCUAUCAAGUUUUUUAUUUCAGUAUUAUACUUAAUACACAUCCCAAACUGCCUAAAAUGCCCUGAAUUUAUGAAAUAUUCCGUUAUUUAAUAUAAUUAAUAUAUAUUUACUAUUUGGUACAUCUUUUUACAUAUUAUUUCGUCUAAUUUUUGCUAGAAAUUUGUGGUUAUCAUCGUUCAAUUUAUAAUCAAAUGAUUAUUAUUAUAUCCCAACUCCAAAUCACCAAUACAAGUUUUCAAAAUUCACAAACUAGUACAAGUGUAGAAGUAUAGUAGCUAUUAAACAUAAAUAGCUAAUUAUUCGAUAAAACAUGUCAUGAUUAAAAUGCAAUAUUUGACAAUAUGAUCUACAAGAUCAAACUAAAGCUGAUAAAGAUAUAGUACUUGACAAUAUGAUCUGUAAAAUCAAACUAAAGCUGAUACGGAUACAAAAAAAAANNNNNNNNNNNNNNNNNNNNAAAAAAAAAAAAACAAAACCCCAAAAUGAAUUGUGAAGAAGAAUUUGGGUCAUGGGAGAAUACGUGUUUUCGACUAUUUUAGGGUAGAAGACGUUGAAAAGAAUACUUCUAGCGUGAAUUUUUUUUUUUAAUUAAUAGAUGUAUGUUUUGGUCAUUUAGCUUACCUAUAAAAUCUCAAUAGAAACAAAAUAAUAGGGGUGUGUAUUAAGAGAUUAGGGGUGUGUAUUUAAAAUUUCUCUUUAAGAUUCCAUAAGAAAUUCUACUUAUUGAAGAUGAUAAUUCUAGAUAGAAAAAUUAUUGGUUUUAUAAAAAGAUUCAAUUUCAAGCACGUACUUGGUAAAACAAAAAUGAUAAGAAAAAGUUUGUAAUGUGUAACAAUGUAUUGUCCUUUAUUGUAAUUAGGUAAUUUAGUUUUUUAAUAAAUCAACAUCUUAUAGGGUGAGUAAAAUGGAUGAUAGGGUGACAUCAGCCGUACAUUUUGAAGUUGGCAUCUUCUGUCCAAUCUGAAGUCUAAUACAUUUUGAAAUCCUAAUCAAAUCUUAACUACUCUACCAAACACGGCCAAAAUGUAAAACUCCACUUUGAUAUGGUUGGGUGAUUUUUGGACUUCGAUAAAAGUGGCAGCAAGGUUUACAUGUCCUCUGAAAUGGUUUUCAAUGUAAGACCUGCUACCAUGCAUGAUACCAUCCUACCCAACUUCACUAGAGAAACCUGCUAGUUUGCUACGAUAACUAAAAGCAAUUACUAUCAGACUUCAAUUCUGAAACUACAAAAAACCAUGUGGGGGAUGACAAAUGCAAACACAAAUCUUUCCAAAUCUUUCCAUUAUAUAUAAGCAUGCAUGAACCUAACUGCAGGAGCAGGCACCAAAAUUGCCUCCUAAGUCCUACCAAAUUGCGUAUCAUACCAAUAACACCAUUUACCUAAUCAGCCCCGUUGUGAUUUCUUCAUUUUCCUAAGGAUUGAAUUUAGUUGGGCCUCUUGAUUAACCAAACAAUGGGCAUCGGCCCAGUUAAGAUGAGGGAUAAGUUCAUUCCUAUAAAUUUACAAGCCUUCCUGUAGCCUCUCAAACUGCGGAACAUAUGAAAGUAACUAUACAUCUAAGUUGGCUUUUCCAGUACUAGACAAAAACUGAUUUCACGUGUAUCAUGAAGUUUGGUUUUCUCCAACUCACAGUUUCUCUAUGGAUGACCAUUACUCAUCCACCAGUUAUAGGCAAGAGAGGAAAGAGUUGUUAAGGUUGAGAAAUAUCGUAAGCGGUAACAAACAUAGAAAAAGACAUGUGAAUGAUAGUGGAAGCAAAAAGAAGACGACCAAGACCAAGACCCAUUGUCUAACAGUGCGAGGGAGAACCUAUCUUCUUUCUUUAAUUUCAUACCACUCGGCCACUAUA
rnacentral:lncRNA from 1 species